rnacentral:rRNA from 1 species
UACGUAGGGUGCAAGCGUUUGUCCGGAAUUAUUGGGCGUAAAGAGCUCGUAGGCGGUUUGUCGCGUCUGCUGUGAAAAUCCAGGGCUUAACCCUGGACCUGCAGUGGGUACGGGCAGACUGGAGUGCGGUAGGGGAGAUCGGAAUUCCUGGUGUAGCGGUGGAAUGCGUAGAGAUCCGGAAGAACACCGGUGGCGAAGGCGGCCUGCUGGGCAGUGGCUGACGCUGAGGCGCGACAGCGGUGGGGAGCAAACGGG